rnacentral:lncRNA from 1 species
UUGUUAUGACUUUGUAAGAGCUUUACAAAGUCAAGUUUGUUUUUAGAUGACUUAGAUUUUGUGAAAUAAAAUAGAAUUGAUGUUUCUAGUGAUUUCAAGAGUUUUGUAAUAGAUCUAUAGGUGAAAUUUUUUAAGUUAAUGGUCAUAGUUGUGUUUAAUAUGUAUUGUAAAUCUUAGCUUGAUCUAAUGGUUGAAUUGAGGAUUAUUGAGGUUUAAGUGUGUCAAGGUCUUAGAAAGUAGAAUUUUAGGUCUAGUGAGGGUUUUUAAGAUUUCUUGUAAUUUACUAGUUAGAUUGGAAUAAAAUUUGUAUGUGAGGAUAUUAGACUUAUUUUUCUAUGUGUAUAAAAAUUUGAGAUCAAUCAAAUGGUGAAAAGAAGAGAUAUUUGCUCUGGAAGAUUGGCAUUAAGGGUAGUGAAGGAGGCUGGCCAAUAUCCAAGUACGUUUUUGAGGCUAUCAUCUAUUUGGUAAUUUUGAUCCUUUUCAAAAAAAAAAUUGUGCUUGUUGGAAAGUUUAUUGUUAAAAAGCGUGCAAAUUUUGAAUUCAGAUUGAUGAUUCAUUUAUUAAAAAUUGAAGUUUAAAUUUGUUGUAGGAAUUAUUAGGAUUUGAUUUAGUAUUUAGGAUUUGGUUUAGGAUUUGAUUAGGGUUUGAUUUAGAAUUAGGAUUUGGUUAAGAUUUGAUUUAGAAUUUAGGAUUUGGUUAGGAUUUGAUUUAGGGUUAAAAUUUGGUUAGGAUUUGAUUUAGGAUUAGGGUUUGAUUUAAGGUUAGGAUUUGGUUAGGAUUUGGUUAGGGUUUGAUUUAGGAUUAGGAUUUAGGAUUUGGUUAGGAUUUGAUUUAGAUUUUAGGAUUUGGUUUAAAGUUAGUUAGGAUUUGAUAUAAGAUUUAGGAUUUGGUUAGGAUUUGAUUUAGGAUUUAGAUUUGGUUAGGAUUUGGUUUAGAGUUUAGGAUUUGGUUUAAAGUUAGUUAGGAUUUGAUAUAGGAUUUAGGAUUUGGUUAGGAUUUGAUUUAGGGUUAGGAUUUGGUUAGGAUUUGGUUUAGAGUUUAGAAUUUGGUUUAAAGUUAGUUAGGAUUUGAUUUAGGAUUUAGGAUUUGAUUUAGGAUUUCAGGUUUGGUUAGGAUUUAGGAUUAUAUUUGAGUUUGUUUAGGAUUUAAGAUUUAGUUAGUUUUUGGCCUAAAGUUUGAAUGAAGUCCAAUAGGAUUUCAACUAGGAUUAAAUUAAGAUUGAAUUGAGAUGUUUUUGAAAUAUGUUUGUAAUCAUUCUAAUAUUUCUUUGAGAUUUCUUAUUAUUUCUUUGUAAUUCCUUUGAGGUUUCUCUGAAUUUGAUUAAAGCUUGUUUAAUAUUGUUAGUAUUCUAUUAGAAUUAGGAUUUUAUUGUAGCAAUUUCUAUUCUACCUUCCUUAGCCAAGUGCUGAGAGCAUUCUUAAGCAAGACUACACGUAUUAUAACACUGUGAUGUUAAAAACAUCCAAUUAG